rnacentral:lncRNA from 1 species
CAAGGUCAUCUGCUGCAUUUUGGGCCAUUGCCAGUCAUCUUGACUUUUUCCUGACACUAGACUUCAAUGACUCUUGAAGAGAGGGUGAGGCUGAUGAUUUUGUGCAACUCUUCCUUAAGUCCAAUUCACAAGCAAAUCAAGAAAUCACUCUUUAAUGUCACUGGUCCUCUUCAAAACAGAAGACAAACAACAUGACUGCUCUGUGGGCUCUAGCCAUUCAACUAAUUUUGAAUACUUCUGCCUGUACCAUUAUCUGAUCAAACCAUUAUAAAACUAUCUGUUAGGGAUUUAAAAAGACCCUUUAAAAAGAUAUUUUAAAAAGCACUGUAUUCCAUGUACCAUUGAAUAUUUGUCAAUAUAAGAAGGAUGGACUCUAUAAAUACCCCAAGAAUAUUGCUCAGGUGUUGUUGAAAAGAACUUAUUCAUGAGACUGAAAUGCUUAUGUCAUGUUGAAGGAGAGUGGCGCUACAGGCAGUGCCAGUCUUGUAAGCUGAAGGUCCCGAGUCUGAUCCUUGGAAGGAGGGUGUGAUAUACUGGGAAAGGCUUCUGGAGAUGAAGAGUCACUCGACUUCAAUGGGGAUUAUCUCGCACCUGAAGUGGAUGUCUAUUUGUCUGGUGAAGUGGGACCUUCCCUUAGGCGGAAACCUCUCCUGUGACAAGCAGCAAAAAGGAUAUCGUCAUGACCCUUCUUCAGAUUAACCACAUUCCUGUUUCCAACCUAUAAUUCAUAAGGAACAUCCGCUAUGGGAAUGGAUGGCUCAGGCAAUUGGAAACAGGAUACAGAGCCUUCACCUCCUGCCAGCCUCUGUUGCUCAAAGCCAGAUAAGUACUCCAGAGACUCUGGACAGGAUCACUUUUCACCUCAUCAAAUGGACAGGCAGGGCUGGGCCUCGAUAAAAUUAGAAAAAAGGCAAAGUUUACCUUCAGUGGACCAAGUCUUUUCUUGCACUUUUUACCCCCAUCAUCAGAACUUUCCUCCCUUUGUCCUGGUUCUAAAUGAUAAAAAUACAGCAAGGAGGUAAAUGAAGUUUAGUCUUUACAGCACAAAAACAAGCCAUGAAAAAUCAUGAAGAAUAGUUAUGAACCCUUUCAUCUACAAAGCCCUCAAAAGUCCUCCUUUAUAUUUUAUUUCCAUUGAAGUCCUUGCCUCCCAAGAAGUCUUACUCUGGAUAUUUAUCCCAAUAAAAGUAAACAAACAAAUAUCA